rnacentral:rRNA from 1 species
GUGGGGAAUAUUGGACAAUGGGGGGAACCCUGAUCCAGCCAUGCCGCGUGUGUGAAGAAGGCCUUUUGGUUGUAAAGCACUUUAAGCGAGGAGGAGGCUACCGAGAUUAAUACUCUUGGAUAGUGGACGUUACUCGCAGAAUAAGCACCGGCUAACUCUGUGCCAGCAGCCGCGGUAAUACAGAGGGUGCAAGCGUUAAUCGGAUUUACUGGGCGUAAAGCGCGCGUAGGUGGCCAAUUAAGUCAAAUGUGAAAUCCCCGAGCUUAACUUGGGAAUUGCAUUCGAUACUGGUUGGCUAGAGUAUGGGAGAGGAUGGUAGAAUUCCAGGUGUAGCGGUGAAAUGCGUAGAGAUCUGGAGGAAUACCGAUGGCAGGCAGCCAUCUGGCCUAAUACUGACACUGAGGUGCGAAAGCAUGGGGAGCAAACAGGAUUAGAAACCCUGGUAGUCC